rnacentral:rRNA from 1 species
UACGUAGGUGGCAAGCGUUAUCCGGAUUUAUUGGGCGUAAAGGGAGCGUAGACGGCAAAGCAAGUCCGGAGUGAAAGCCCGGGGCCCAACCCCGGGACUGCUCUGGAAACUGUUAAGCUGGAGUGCGGGAGGGGCAGGCGGAAUUCCUGGUGUAGCGGUGAAAUGCGUAGAUAUCAGGAGGAACACCGGCGGCGAAGGCGGCCUGCUGGACCGUGACUGACGUUGAGGCUCGAAAGCGUGGGGAGCAAACAGG